UACGUAGGGGGCAAGCGUUGUCCGGAAUCAUUGGGCGUAAAGAGCGUGUAGGCGGUCCGGUAAGUCGGCUGUGAAAGUCCAGGGCUCAACCCUGGGAUGCCGGUCGAUACUGCCGGACUAGAGUUCGGAAGAGGCGAGUGGAAUUCCCGGUGUAGCGGUGAAAUGCGCAGAUAUCGGGAGGAACACCUAUGGCGAAGGCAGCUCGCUGGGACGUUACUGACGCUGAGACGCGAAGGUCAGGGGAGCAAACGGG
rnacentral:rRNA from 1 species